ACAUAACAGAGUCCUAUUGUGAAUAUGUUGAAAAACCAAGUAAUCAUGUAUCGGGAGAUAUGUUUCAACUCUACUGUCAACGUUAUACUCAUGUUCCAAGUUUUAAAA